rnacentral:rRNA from 1 species
UCCGUGGCUCAGAGCGAACGCUAGCGGCGGGCUUAACACAUGCAAGUCGAGCGGAGGGUUUCGGCCCUCAGCGGCGAACGGGUGAGUAACACGUGGGUAACGUACCCUUUGGUGGGGAAUAACCUAGGGAAACCUGGGCUAAUACCGCAUAUGUCCUUCGGGAUGAAAGUCUUCGGACGCCAGGGGAUCGGCCUGCGGCCCAUUAUUUAAUCCUAGUUGGUAGGGUAACGGCCUACCAAGGGUACGAUGGGUAGCUGGUCUGAGAGGAUGAUCAGCCACACUGGAACUGAGACACGGUCCAGACUCCUACGGGAGGCAGCAGUGGGGAAUAUUGGACAAUGGGCGCAAGCCUGAUCCAGCCACGCCGCGUGGGUGAUGAAGGCCUUCGGGUUGUAAAGCCCUGUCGGAGGGGACGAAGUCUUCGGAUUGACGGUACCUUCCAAGAAAGCACCGGCUAACUCCGUGCCAGCAGCCGCGGUAAUACGGAGGGUGCAAGCGUUGCUCGGAAUUACUGGGCGUAAAGCGUACGCAGGCGGU